CUGGCAUAGCUCUGCCACCAAGUAGGCAGCCAAGGAUGUAUGACUGACUAACCGUAUCUCUCUUUAUCUCUUCAUCUCUCCCGCUCUCCUUCUGUCUGACUGCCCAAUCGUUGUAUUUGCAAAUGGCAACUUGGACUUCAGUGGUUGCUGUUGUUGUUGUUGUUGUUGCGCCUUUUGCCAGUUUUUGCGAUUGUAUGUGUGUGUGAGUGUAUCUUGUUUAUUAUUCAUGCUGUGUGCUCCUUUACACCAUUACAAGGUCCUUGUGGCUGACGCUGCGCUCUGUUUAAAUGGCGCAUAAAAUAUUAAUGGCUUCAUUAGCAUUCGCACAAAUUUCUCAUAAUUACAUAAUCAGAAGAGGAGUCGCAGGGCGACCAAAAGGGGAGCCAAAUCGAAAACGAUGUGCAACAUUUUGUGGCAACAAAGCCGCUUUAUAGUAUGAAUUAUAUACAGUUUUCCACAAAACUGUACAGACGCACAAAGCCUUUUUGGCCAAAUUGAGGUCCCUUUGCUGGGCAACGCACUGAGCCGUUAAGUGGGCGGCCAGGGGGAGGAGUUCAAAGUGACAGCAAACAUUUUGCCUAUGAGCUGGCCGGGAUUUGAAAUAUUGCCGUGCGCAUUUGAAAGCAAGAGAGAGAUAGAUACAGAGAGAGAGAGAGAGAGCGAGUUGAAUGAGAUGGCAAGCAAUAAAAUGAAAAAUAUUUGAACUUUAGCAAAAAGCGCACAAGGAUAUCAAUUCCCAGAAGCAUACAAAAAUACACAAAUGCAUGUGCCAGCAUGUGUGCGUGUGUAUAUGUAUAUGUGUGUGUAUGCGUAGUCAAAUCCAACUAGAAUCAGAAUCACAGCAAUAAAAUUGAAAGAGCGUGCACGAAUGCCAAUAGAAAACAAACAGCAAGGAGAGGAGAAGCAGAGGCGGAUGGGCUGCUCAGUAUAUUAGGUUGAAGCACAAACAAGUUUUUUUCGGCACACAAAUGGGACAUAAGAGGCAAAAAAAAAAAAGAAGAAGGCGAAAAGAAAGAGACGUAGAGAAAGGACGAAGGCAACGACAGACAACGUUUAUUUGCCUUUUUGCCUCAAUGGCAGCAAAGGCGAAUUUAAAAUGAGAAACAAAAUCAACAACAACAAUAACAAGAACAACAACAACAACAAAAACAUUGAUGAGUGAUUCGUGUCAAAUUCAGCAAAGCUUUAGAAUGUGUCAUCCGAUAUGUAAUAAGCUAGAGCACGUGUCCUGCGAAAGGAAAACAAUAUUAAGGCAGUCAAAGGUACACAAAGGUCAAACGGAACAUUAUGGCUUUAUUUUGCGCCUAAUAAAUCUCAUUAUGUCAUUAUAUGCUCGAGCAACAACAACAACCAUAACAAGAAACAGCAGAGGUAACCGAAACAGCCGAACAAAAAAUAAAUAGUAGCCGCUAACUGCGCUGCCGGCUUCGUCGUCGACGUCGUUGAAACGGCAACAGCCAAACGACAUGCCAAUCAGUAAUCAAUCCGCACGCACAUUGACAACGAGGACGUCGCCAGCUCUGCCGCGCUCUCUCUUCUUCGACCAAAAACAAUUUGCUAAGGCAGAUAUGAGUGAUUGCAAUUGUAUGAAAUACCAAAUACCCUGUAUGCUCAAGAAUUUCGUCCAUAUAAAGAGAAUUUUUAAAUUAUUUGUUUGAAUAAAAAGUUGUUUGUUUUGCUUAAAUCAAUACAGCACAAAAAUAACUACUAUUUUUUAUAGAUGUCUUCAUUUUAUAAUGAAUUAUUCUUAUUGGAGUCUUAUUGGUCUGGUUGUGCCAACUCAAUGCUGCCAAUAAGAAACUCUACAAAAGGAGCAGCAGCAAUGCUGGCAAGUGAGACCACACGACGUCACAGUAAACAAAAUGAAAAGAGAUAAACAUAGAGCAGCACUGCGCAACAUGGCGUCAGCAGCAGUCAGCGGCACUGGCGUUGAGCGCGAGCGAGAACGAGAGCGCCCAGAGAGCGAGCGCACAGCAAAAACGCCGCCAUUAAAGAAAUUCCUCUCAGAGAGUGCGACGUGUAUAUGUAUGGGAAUGCUUUAGUGUGCGGCAUGCGUGUGCAAAUGCCGCAGAGUUGUCGACAUACGAGCGAUAAAACCAAAUAAACAGUCAGGUUAAGUUAUAUACUAAAUUUUAUACAAUACGAUUAUAUUUUUAAUAACCAAAAAAAUAGGUGGAUUAUUGCAGUUUUAAAGUUUGUGGUUUUUGUUGUCAGUUUAUUGGCUUGUUUACUUGAAGACUUUAGUUGGCAACCCUGGCUUGCGCGCCGCUGUGUUGCCAGCGAGAGCCGCUCAAUUUAUGCGCUUUUUGUACGCGUUGCUCCUUCGUGGCGGACAGUACGGAUGAAACACUGUCGACGCAAACUAGGCGAAAAGUUCUAUGAGAAAUAACAAAAAAAAAAAAAAAAAAAAUUUAAAAAAACAAUCCAACAUUUUUAGCAUAAAUUGUGUGCUAAACCAUAAGAUUUCCAUGAGCAAAUAGGCAAAGAAGAAGAAAUAAAAAAAGAAAACAACUAACCUCAUAAAAAAGUUCAUGCAGUGAAAAAAAAAAAAUAAACCAAGAAAAUUUGCCAGAAGCAUAUUUGUCAAAUAAAAAAAAGUAAUAACAGAAAAAAAGAAAAGUAAAAGAGUGUGCGCAAUCUGUACCCUUCUCGCUCUUGCUCUUAUAUAAAUGGCAAAUAAUUCUUGAGAUUGGCUACAACAACAACAACGACGUGAAAAAGGAAAGCUCUGCCUACAACAACGAAAAUUUGUGGAUUUACAUUUCCUGUGUGCAGCAGCAGCAGCACCAACAACAACGCCUUCGUCGGCGUUUCUUUUGUGGAUUAUUACUACCUAAAAACCGCUGCUCACUUUGCGGGCCGCACUCUCUCACUCAGUCGCUCUCUGUCGCACGCGAGUGCAAGGGUCGCUGCGCGAGCAAGCCAGAGCCAGCAGGCAACGAAAAUCCUCGUUCGCACCUUGCUCCCCACCAUUCUCUAUCAUACUCCACUCUCACCCAUCCACUACUACUCACCAUUCUGUGUCUCUCCCCUAACGUCGCUCACUGCCGUCGCCGCUAACAA